UACGUAGGGGGCGAGCGUUGUCCGGAUUUAUUGGGCGUAAAGAGCGUGUAGGCGGUUCGGUAAGUCUGUCGUGAAAUCCUGAGGCUCAACCUCGGGCGUGCGAUGGAUACUGCCGGGCUAGAGGAUGGUAGAGGCGAGUGGAAUUCCCGGUGUAGCGGUGAAAUGCGCAGAUAUCGGGAGGAACACCAAUGGCGAAGGCAGCUCACUGGGACGGUAUUGACGCUGAGACGCGAAAGCGUGGGGAGCAAACAGG
rnacentral:rRNA from 1 species